CCGUAGCUCAGUUGGUAGAGCGCCUCACUUGUAAUGAGGAUGUCGCGGGUUCGACUCCUGCCGGU
rnacentral:tRNA from 1 species